rnacentral:misc_RNA from 1 species
GAAGUGCGAUAAGUGUCAUGACUUGCAGAUUCCCGAGAGCUGACAAAUUUCUGAAUGCAAAUGGCGGCUGUCAAAAACGGCCAUGUAUGGCAGAGUGUAGUUGUUCAUACUCAUCAUCCCCUUUCUCAUCAUACGACUGGUGGUUAGGCUAGGGAUCUGCGCUUACGACCGAGAUAUGGCGUGAGUGUGAAAAAUCGAGCCCUCAUAAAAUUGCAUGCAUCGCAUGUAAUGCAUGGGGUGACUUCGGAGAGAAGAAAGACGACUGCGGUGAGGAUAGAUUCACAUCUGUUCUCACCGCGGGCGUUCUUUUUUAUCAGGAAGUUCACUAGUAGCUCAAAUACAAUUCUCUAUAGGAAUCUACCUCUGCCAUGCAGGAGAACCCGCUGAACUUAA